rnacentral:rRNA from 1 species
AGUGUGUGUGUUAGUGGAAGCGUCUGGAAAGGCGCGCGAUACAGGGUGACAGCCCCGUACACAAAAAUACACAUAUUGUGAGCUCGAUGAGUAGGGCGGGACACGUGGUAUCCUGUCUGAAUAUGGGGGGACCAUCCUCCAAGGCUAAAUACUCCUGACUGACCGAUAGUGAACCAGUACCGUGAGGGAAAGGCGAAAAGAACCCCGGCGAGGGGAGUGAAAAAGAACCUGAAACCGUGUACGUACAAGCAGUGGGAGCACGCUUAGGCGUGUGACUGCGUACCUUUUGUAUAAUGGGUCAGCGACUUAUAUUCUGUAGCAAGGUUAACCGAAUAGGGGAGCCGAAGGGAAACCGAGUCUUAACUGGGCGUUAAGUUGCAGGGUAUAGACCCGAAACCCGGUGAUCUAGCCAUGGGCAGGUUGAAGGUUGGGUAACACUAACUGGAGGACCGAACCGACUAAUGUUGAAAAAUUAGCGGAUGACUUGUGGCUGGGGGUGAAAGGCCAAUCAAACCGGGAGAUAGCUGGUUCUCCCCGAAAGCUAUUUAGGUAGCGCCUCGUGAAUUCAUCUCCGGGGGUAGAGCACUGUUUCGGCAAGGGGGUCAUCCCGACUUACCAACCCGAUGCAAACUGCGAAUACCGGAGAAUGUUAUCACGGGAGACACACGGCGGGUGCUAACGUCCGUCGUGAAGAGGGAAACAACCCAGACCGCCAGCUAAGGUCCCAAAGUCAUGGUUAAGUGGGAAACGAUGUGGGAAGGCCCAGACAGCCAGGAUGUUGGCUUAGAAGCAGCCAUCAUUUAAAGAAAGCGUAAUAGCUCACUGGUCGAGUCGGCCUGCGCGGAAGAUGUAACGGGGCUAAACCAUGCACCGAAGCUGCGGCAGCGAUGCUUAUGCGUUGUUGGGUAGGGGAGCGUUCUGUAAGCCUGCGAAGGUGUGCUUUGAGGCAUGCUGGAGGUAUCAGAAGUGCGAAUGCUGACAUAAGUAACGAUAAAGCGGGUGAAAAGCCCGCUCGCCGGAAGACCAAGGGUUCCUGUCCAACGUUAAUCGGGGCAGGGUGAGUCGACCCCUAAGGCGAGGCCGAAAGGCGUAGUCGAUGGGAAACAGGUUAAUAUUCCUGUACUUGGUGUUACUGCGAAGGGGGGACGGAGAAGGCUAUGUUGGCCGGGCGACGGUUGUCCCGGUUUAAGCGUGUAGGCUGGUUUUCCAGGCAAAUCCGGAAAAUCAAGGCUGAGGCGUGAUGACGAGGCACUACGGUGCUGAAGCAACAAAUGCCCUGCUUCCAGGAAAAGCCUCUAAGCAUCAGGUAACAUCAAAUCGUACCCCAAACCGACACAGGUGGUCAGGUAGAGAAUACCAAGGCGCUUGAGAGAACUCGGGUGAAGGAACUAGGCAAAAUGGUGCCGUAACUUCGGGAGAAGGCACGCUGAUAUGUAGGUGAAGUCCCUUGCGGAUGGAGCUGAAAUCAGUCGAAGAUACCAGCUGGCUGCAACUGUUUAUUAAAAACACAGCACUGUGCAAACACGAAAGUGGACGUAUACGGUGUGACGCCUGCCCGGUGCCGGAAGGUUAAUU